rnacentral:lncRNA from 1 species
GCCUUACAUUUGCUUAUCUACUAGACUGAAUACAAUUUCCAGUUGGAAAAUAUUUCCUACUGUUGAGAUCACCCAAACAGCACAUAAUUAAGGGAACCUGUGAUGAACUCCCCUUCCAAUGAGAAACCUUCACAAGCCAGUGAGUCACCCUCUACUUGAGCUGCACUUUGGCUUGGCAGGCUCAUUGGAAGUGGGAGCUGAUUUCCCAGGCAAGAGAUGAUGCCUAAGACUACGCCUGCCUAGGCAGAGAGGUUUUCCUUUUUCUGGAAUGCCUAUAGUCUCUCCAUUAUCCAUACCCAGUCCUUCUAAGUGUCAUGCUGGUAGUCGUGGCUGGGAGUACCGUGCUGAUUAAGUUUCUUUCAUCCAUGGUGUAUCACAUAUCUUCAGCAAAGCUGAACACUGUCUAAGGACAUUUCAGUCAAGAUGCUACAUAUAAAUCAGUGGUCCCAGAAGAUUACAAUACGAUUGAAAAACCCCUGCCAACUAUUGCGUUGUUAUAGUGGGACAACAUGUUUCUGGUAAUUUUGUGAUAAUACUGGUGUACAUAGAACUACUGUGCUACCAGUUGUGUGCAAGUACAGAACAUGCAAUUAACAACCAUACAAUAAUGUUUGGUAGUGAUGAUUAAGUGUCCAUGCUCCUGUUCAUAAACAGGAGCUUCUUGUGUUAUGCUUUUGUCAUUGUUCUAGAGUGUACUCUGCACAUCUGAAAAACCACGGGGCCUCCUGUAGUAUCUCAGUACUUAUCCCUAGCAUAGGUAUGGACUUUGGGAGCCCAUUCCACAUAGAGGGAUACUCCCUGAGCCAAGACACACGGUGGGGGGGGGCGGGAGGGGGUAGGCCCUAUCCCAAAGGAUAUGACAGACUCUGAAGACCCCCUAUGGAAGGCAUCACCCUCCCUGGGGAGCAGAAAGCGUAUAUAAUAGAUAGAGUUUUAGUUGGG